UGCCUCAGCUUCCAGAGUCGCUGGGACUACAGGCGCCGGCCACCGUGCCAGGCUAAUUGUUUGUAUUUUUAGGAGAGACGGGGUUUCACCGUGGUCUUGAUCUCCUGACCUCGUGAUCCACCCGCCUCGGCCUCCCAAAGUGCUGGGAGGAUAUUCAUUCUUUAUCAGAGUCAUAAUAUUCAAAUUUUUUCUCUCAUUCUGGAGGUUGUCUGUUUAUUUAUUCUGUUGAUUAUAUCUUUUUGCUGUACGGAAGUUUUUUAGUUUAAUUCUCAUUUGUUUAUUUUUGUUUUUGUUACAUUUGCUUUUGGGGUCUUCAUUAUAAAUUCUCUGCUUUGGCCAAUAUCCAGAAGCAUUUUUUUCUAGAUUUUCUUCUAGGAUUUUUAUAAUUUCAGGUCUUACAUUUAGAUCUUUAAUUCAUCUUGAGUUAAUUUUUGUGUAUGGUGAGAGAUAGGGGUCUAGUUUCAUUCUUCUGCAUAUGGCUAGCCAAUUUAUCCAGCACCAUUUAGGGAAUAGGAUGUCGUUUCUCCAAUGUUUGUUUUUGUCAAAUUUGUUGAAGAUCAGUUGGUAGUAGUAGCUAUGGGGCUUUAUUUCUGGGUUUGCUAUUCUAUUCGAUUGAUCUAUUUUUUUACUAGUACCAUGAUGUUUUAGUGAUAAUUGUUGAUUUUCUUGGAUAUAGUCAGAAUUAAAAUUGAAAAAUCCUCACCCAUUAUUUCUUUAAAUAUAUAUUUUUUUCAGUCCAUCUCCUUUCCUUCAGGGACUCCAGUUACAUGAAUAUUAGGCUGAUUGAUGUUGCCCCACAACUAUUGAUAAUCUGUUUAUCUCCAUUUUUUUCUUCUUUUGUCUUGUUUUGAACAGUUUGGUUGCUAUAUCAAGUUCACUAUUCAUUCUUCUGAAAUAUCUACUGUGAUAGCAGUCUCCUCCAGUGUGUUUUCAUAACAGGUUUAUUUACCUGCUUUAUUACAUGACUGGUAAUAUUUGAUUGGAUGUUCGACAUUGUGGAAUCUAUGUCAUUGACACCUGGGCAUUUUUGUACUUUGAAUUGCAAAAAACUACUUUAAACUUCAUAUGGAACCAAAAAAGAGCCCGCAUAGCCAAGUCAAUCCUAAGCCAA
rnacentral:lncRNA from 1 species